rnacentral:rRNA from 1 species
UACGUAGGUGGCAAGCGUUGUCCGGAUUUACUGGGUGUAAAGGGCGUGCAGCCGGAGAGACAAGUCAGAUGUGAAAUCCACGGGCUCAACCCGUGAACUGCAUUUGGAACUGUUUCCCUUGAGUGUCGGAGAGGUAAUCGGAAUUCCUUGUGUAGCGGUGAAAUGCGUAGAUAUAAGGAAGAACACCAGUGGCGAAGGCGGAUUACUGGACGAUAACUGACGGUGAGGCGCGAAAGCGUGGGGAGCAAACAGG